rnacentral:rRNA from 1 species
GACGAACGCUGGCGGCAGGCUUAACACAUGCAAGUCGAACGCCCCGCAAGGGGAGUGGCAGACGGGUGAGUAACGCGUGGGAACAUACCCUUUCCUGCGGAAUAGCUCUGGGAAACUGGAAUUAAUACCGCAUACGCCCUACGGGGGAAAGAUUUAUCGGGGAAGGAUUGGCCCGCGUUGGAUUAGCUAGUUGGUGGGGUAAAGGCCUACCAAGGCGACGAUCCAUAGCUGGUCUGAGAGGAUGAUCAGCCACAUUGGGACUGAGACACGGCCCGAAAUCCUACGGGAAGAAGCAGUGGGAAAUAUUGGACAAUGGGCGCAAGCCUUAUCCAGCCAUGCCGCGUGAGUGAUGAAGGCCUUAGGGUUGUAAAGCUCUUUCACCGAUGAAGAUAAUGACGGUAGUCGGAGAAGAAGCCCCGGCUAACUUCGUGCCAGCCGCCGCAGUAACAC